rnacentral:rRNA from 1 species
UACGAAGGGUGCAAGCGUUACUCGGAAUUACUGGGCGUAAAGCGUGCGUAGGCGGAUCGUUAAGUCGGGGGUGAAAUCCUGGAGCUCAACUCCAGAACUGCCUUCGAUACUGGCGAUCUUGAGUCCGGAAGAGGUGAGUGGAACUCCUAGUGUAGAGGUGGAAUUCGUAGAUAUUAGGAAGAACACCAGUGGCGAAGGCGGCUCACUGGUCCGGUACUGACGCUGAGGUGCGAAAGCGUGGGGAGCAAACAGG